GCCGGUGUAGCUCAGUGGUAGAGCAAUGCUUUCGUAAAGCAGAGGUCGUCGGUUCAAUCCCGACCACCGGCUCCA
rnacentral:tRNA from 2 species